GUGCCAGCCGCCGCGGUAAUACGUAGAGGGCUAGCGUUGUCCGGAAUCAUUGGGUGUAAAGGGUACGCAGGCGGUUUGGUCAGUCAAAUGGUGAAAUCCACCGGCUCAACCGGUGAACUGCCUUUGAUACUGCCAAACUUGAGGAUAAGGGAAGAAAACGGAAUUCCUAGUGUAGCGGUGAAAUGCGUAGAUAUUAGGAAGAAUACCAAUGGCGAAAGCAGUUUUCUAACUUACUCCUGACGCUCAGGUACGAAAGCUAGGGUAGCAAACGGGAUUAGAAACCCCGGUAGUCC
rnacentral:rRNA from 1 species